AACACCAGAAAAACAAGUUAAUUUUCCAGAAGUUAAAGUAAAAGUGUGAGAGAGCAGCAGCACAGCAGCAGUCAAGUCCUGUUUGUCUCUAAAAGAAGAUUCACUGGAGUCCAUCGGUUUUCUUUCAGCAACAGUGGAUGAUGAGCAGUUCAUUGGUUCUUUUUGUUAAAAUGUGAAAAGAAAAAGUGUGACACAAGCAGAACAACAAAAGAAGAUUACUGGAGGAAGGAUAAUUUGUGUGGUCUCUUCUCUGCUGAAGACUGUAAAAACACUGAAUGCUUGCUGCUAGUCCUUAAACUGAGCCAACAACACAGGCAAUCGUUGCAGAAUAAAGCUCUUUUUACAAGUUAUCAUGACAAUGUGAGUAAUAUGAGAUUAAUUAAAUCAAAUCAAGUCAAUUUAUUUAUAUAGCACCUUUCACUGGAUAAAAUCCACAAAGUGCUUCACAGUAAUAUAAAAACAGAAAUACAUAAAAU